AAGGUGGGUGGUUGGAACUCGUCGAGAGAAGGUCGAUUCGUCGCUGCCUAUUACAUGACACCGUUACGCAAGGGGCUCUCUCAAUAAUAUAACCUACACCAGCAUAACCACCAGAGUUGAGUCCAGAGACCAGAUACGUGUAUUACACACAAUUACUAUAUACUACAUACUACACGUAAAAGCUUACUCAUAUACAAUUAAAUUCGCCCGUUAAAUUGCGCAAUAACUUCACCAAUAUAAACCGAUCGCUAUCCAUAUUAAGGAAUCAUAAUAAUUGUGACAGUCAGCACUACAAGGAAGAGCCAAUACAACAUCUACGUCGAAUUUAGUUGUUAAUAUUGAUGUUCUAUAAGUGACUGUGCACAAUUAAAUAAAUAAAAGUGACUAGUCAUGAAGCUCUGCGAAUUGGUAUUGCUUAUAUCACCAUCGGAACAGAUAUAAGUAUAAUAGCAAUAGCAAUAACAACAAUAAUGUAUAAUGUAAUAUUAUAAUAAGUAUAUGUAUAAGUUGUUUAUUUACAGAGACUUGAGAACCUCUGUCGCCUAUGAGGGGAUCCUAUGGCGCCGUGGGUUGAGACCAUACCAUCUACAUGUACAUAUAAAUGUAUGUAUGUAUGUAUGUAUGUAUGUAUGUAUGUAUCUAUUACUGAUACCGAGUCUGAGUAAUAUAACAUAAGAGCGUAAAAGCUACUGCUACGUAGAUAUUGGGUGUGUGUGCCGACUGGAGGCUUGUCAUGUGCGUAUACACACCAAACACCUUCACGGUGUUGUAUAGUAUCCAUCCUUCCAGUCACGCACAUCUGUUCGCUCCAAGUAUGAGUACAUACUGUGACACUAGGGAAGAAUUAGAAUUAAAAUUCGGUCCAGCAGAAGAGCAGAGACGAAGGAGACACAGAUAGUAGGCUUGAUAUUAUUGAGAUGAACAAUAGCUGAUAGGGAAAUUGAGAAUUGAGAACCGUGGCGAUGUUUGCGAGGCGAUUAGUAUAGCUGUCGCUUGUAUGUACUGUCUGACCCGCGCACAUCAGAUGUCAGCUGUCGUACUAUACACACCACACAUUGUAACGCACACAGUAACAGUGACGUUUAGUUUCGCGACCGAAAGAAUCAGCAAAUAACGGCCUUGUGCAUCGGAAUGGCAUCCUAUCAGCUCUCCUACUCCUACUCUAUAUCUUUACUUAAACCGCUGCUGUGUGCUGUGUGUGCUGCUAUUCUCAUACUUUCCUGCUCUACGUCUUUGUUUUCAGUUACUUUGACUUUGCUUUGCUAAUUAUUACAGUUACGUACUCCAGUGACAAUGCUGUCUUUAUUGUCAUUGGUAAUAAUGAUUAUUCUAAUAAACAAUUACUCUUGUUUUUA